rnacentral:tRNA from 1 species
UCCCGUGUGGCUCAGUUAGUAGAGCAUGGUGUUUGCAACGCCAAGGGUUGUGGGUUCGAUUCCCACGGGGGGAC